CCUACGGGCGGCAGCAGUGAGGAAUAUUGGUCAAUGGACGAGAGUCUGAACCAGCCAAGUAGCGUGAAGGAUGACUGCCCUAUGGGUUGUAAACUUCUUUUAUAUGGGAAUAAAAUGUUCCACGUGUGGGAUUUUGUAUGUACCAUAUGAAUAAGGAUCGGCUAACUCCGUGCCAGCAGCCGCGGUAAUACGGAGGAUCCGAGCGUUAUCCGGAAUUAUUGGGUUUAAAGGGAGCGUAGGUGGAUUGUUAAGUCAGUUGUGAAAGUUUGCGGCUCAACCGUAAAAUUGCAGUUGAAACUGGCAGUCUUGAGUACAGUAGAGGUGGGCGGAAUUCGUGGUGUAGCGGUGAAAUGCUUAGAUAUCACGAAGAACUCCGAUUGCGAAGGCAGUUCACUGGACUGCAACUGACACUGAGGCUCGAAAGUGUGGGUAUCAAACAGGAUUAGAUACCCCUGUAGUC
rnacentral:rRNA from 1 species